UGCUGAGGAAGCUCCUGGAAAUAGCUGGCUUUGGAAACCUCGUCCUUAGCUGUGCCAUCUGCCCCGGGGAUGGGCUCAGCAGCUCCAGCGGUCCAUGCUGUCCUUGCAGGGAUGAGCACAGCCCCAAAGUAUAGCGACUGAAGCAGUGCAUAAUUCAGGAUCGUAAAACACUUCCAAGUGUGCAUUAAUUAUAAAUAUAUUGUAAAUGACAGUUUUUUUCCUCGAAGAAGGCACAUUAGAUGUGAUGCAUGGCCCCAGAGGAGUGUGUCAAAUGAGGCUGGUGCCCGCCUGGAGCAGCCUGACCUGCCUGUGUAUGCCCAGGCACGAUGCGAUGAGCUCCAUGCAGUGCCCAUAGUGGUGGGCAGUUGGGAGUUACCAGAGAAGCUCUGCUUGCCCCCAGUGCCCACACCCCACUGUGCCUGGGGAGGAAGAGCGCAGUCAGCUGGCACUUCUACUUCAUCUUGGUCGUGUGUGCACCCAUCUCUUUGUAGAUGCAAAACUCAGUUUCCUCGUGGUGCCUCAGUGGACCAUCUCUGCUCUUUGGGUGUGAACGCAGCAAGGCUGCAUGGCGCGUUGGCUCUCCCAUGCUCAGAUGUGAUGGUGAAGGCCACUUUGGACUUCAACAUUUCUCCUGCGGGGCUCCAACGUCAGAACAAAGGCUUGUUGUUAUUUUGCCAAACUGAAGUACUGGGAUGUGGAUGGAGC
ensembl:lncRNA